rnacentral:lncRNA from 1 species
UUUUUUAAUAAGAAGAAGGAGCCUCUGAUAAAGAAUGAGGUUGUCACACAAAGGUCAUGAUUGAAAGUUUAACGAGCAAGUGCAAGAUCGAGCACCGCCUACAGUCAAGGAGUCCAAGAGUUAGAUACUCAUUCGAAGAAACAAGUAAGUUACGAUUAUUACCUCAGAUGAAGAGAUAACGUUUGGAAUUAUUAUACGAGCCCUGUUUCGUUGAUGAUUCCGGGACGUAAUCAUCCUAAGGGGGAGAUAAUUGUAACACCCGCAGAUCCGGGCAAGUCAAUUUAGAGGCAAUAAGGGUCGAAAACGAAUUUUUGACAAAUGAUUAUUUAGAAUAAAUAAUUUAACCAAGUUGUAGAAUAUGUCACAAGGUUUCCGUACGUAUAAAGAACGCCAAAAUCCGAGUGAUAACGAAGAAGUUAUGGCCCGUCGAAGUUUUUCGGCAAAACCGGUACGGCACCAGGAGGCGUAAAACGUGAAUUUACAAUAGAAGACUUUUUAGCCUUAGUAGUCAAAACCAAAGUCAUAGAGUAUGUUAAAACGAGAAAAUCCAUAAAAAGAACACCCAAAUCUGACUUCGUAUGAGGAAGUUAUGAUUUUUCAAAGUUUCGGCUUAAUAGUGUACAACCCGAAACUCGAAUUUUAGUUUGAGCAGUUUUUGGCUUACACGACCUAAAUGAGAGUUGAAGAUCUCAUUAAUAGGAACUCAACGGUAAAAAGAUGGAUGAAAAUAGAGUCCGUAAGAAGGAGUUACGAAUUCUUCGCGGUCAUUUAACAGUCUAAACGCCUCCUACUGUUAAAUUUGAGAUCAGUCGAGAAUUAGCCGACGGAGUCUAAAAGAAAGUUGUAGAUCUUGAUUUUAUCUACACGUGGAUAUAAAGAAUGUCGAAAACGGAGCUCGUAUGCGAGAGUUAUGAUUUUUCUAAGUUUGAAGGCUGAUACGCGAUAGGGGUGACGUGGCACCACCAGAAUUGGACACGUGGCACCACCAGAAGGUUGCCACAUGCACCAAAUCGGCGAGUAGGUCCUCCUACUCGGCGAGUAGGUCAGUCAGCACCCCUAUAAAUAUAGGUGCCGGGUUCCCUCAUUCUUUACACCUUCAAACCUUACUUUCUCUCUCUAAGCCUCCCUAACCCCCCCAAAGCCUAGGAUAACUCCCUAGCACGAGGCGGAAGCCCUGGAGCGCCCGACGGCUCCGAGAAAAGAGCCUUUCGGCUCGGGAACGCUACUCCAGCGAAGCCCGGUUUUCGAGAAAACCCACUGUAAGUGAGCCAUGCCUACCCUAUCUUUAGUGUAGCUUAUGUUUUAAUAUAGUAACGUUAUUAGGAACUUAUAAUGAGUAUUUUGGGCUAUUAUUAUGAGUUAUAUUGAGUGUUAUUUAACGCUUAUAUAAUAAUAAUAAUAUCUAGACUAUUAAUUUGUCGUGGUUAUCGUUAGACUAAACCCUAGUGGUAUUGAUACUAGGUUUUGUCAAGGGAUAAUUGUUUUGAGAGUAUCGAAGCGCUGUCCGAGUGCUGAGUCACCACCUUUCAGGUGAGUGCAUGGUCCCCUUCAACUUACACAUAGAUAUGAAGUAUUUACUACGUGCUAUGUGUGCAUAUUGUCUGUUUACUUGCUGUCUAUGCUCGGUGAAAGAUUUUAUACAUGUUUUAAAUGAUUUAAACUAUAUAUGUAUUUUAUAUCUACUAAUAUGUUGGGGUAAAACAUGGGUAGAUAUAAUAGAUGAAAUAUGAGUUGGACGAUGUGAUGAGAGGUGAUAUAGACCAUGAGGUAUGGGUGAGAGGUGUACGAUGUGAGAAGCCUUUUUCCAAACGAUAUCCCCGUCAUUCAGCAGAGUAUGGAUGACAACCACAGACUAUUCUAGACGGUCCAGUGGAACACUAGCAGGCUCGCAACCUGUAAGUGUUGUGAACGAUGUGUUCACUCGGUGUACUCUAAACUUGACGAUCAUGCAGACUUGAUGCCUAAACCAUGGCAAUCAUGCAGACUUGGUGCCAAAACCCUGGUGACUAUGCAGACUUAGUGCCUGAUGUACAAAUUCUGGCGACUAUGCAGACUUAGUGCCUAAACCCCGGUGACGAUGGACUUCGUGCCGAUUCCUUAGGAUGAUCCUUAGGAAUAUAUGAACGAGGAUUGGUUGAUUCUUAGGGUAGAUCCUUAAGAGUAAAGAAGAUAAUGGGGAUGGGUAAUUGGGUUGAUUGUUUGAUUGUUUGAACAUAAUAAUUAUAUUAUUGUGGGUUGAAAACCCUAUGUACUCACCAGGUUUCCCAACCUGACCCACUCAGUUUAUGUAUAUCACAGGUGACGAAGUGAAGUGACAUUACACUGNGUUGAGUGAUUUAAAGAGAUGUAGAUCACUAGUGUAAAUAAAUGUAAGUUCUGUUUAUUCUUAUGUUUAUGUAUUAACGAUGACAUCCCAAAUGUUUAAAAACGAAUAGAAUACGUUUCUUCGAAAAUAUUUUUAUAACGUAUUUAUCGUGUUUUUUUGGGAACAAAUUCCGCAACAUUUUUAUUAAAAGAAGUACUCUGAUUUUUAUAAAGCAUAAACAAAAUCGGUCUUUUCUGGCCGUGAAAAUGGGGAUGUCACAUUUAUGGUGUAUGUGAUCCUAUCCAUAUGAACUUGUCAUAACCAUAAGAUGAGGUUAGUGACAAAUCCAAACUCAUAUGGACUGAACUUGUUCAAUCUUAACUUCUUGCCACCUGGCAGCACAAGGGCCUACUAUUGCUACAAGUAGUUAUGCAAACAACUGAGGACUGAUAGAACUCACAUGCAUAGUCAACUUUUAACUAGAAUGGGAACAAAAACAAGAAUAUGUCAAAACGAUAGGUUACAAACCUCAAGUCGUGUGCUAGUGAUAAACAACAGGUUUUUAUUCUUGAUUAGUUCUUGAAACUUUUCAAGAUCUUUAAGACUCCCACUGACCUCUUGACAUAUAAGAUCCACUUUGUCAAGGACCAUUCCUUGACAAAGCAAAUAUUCAAGAGUUAGUGCGGAUUCUUAUAAAGACAAACACUUCACACAAUUGGCGUUAGUUGGUCUUUAUUUUAUCCAAAACAUCAAAACUUUCCAAUUUCAAAUGUACAAGAGUAAGAAAACAUUUUACUCUACAUUUGACAAGUGUUAUAAACCUUCUUUAAGAUAUGUCACUCAAGUUACAAUCUUGGAGUAUGACUCUAAGAAUUGUUUUGUAACGAAGUAUGAUUUAUCUUUUGAUUUAACCAUCUCAACAAUUCACGAUUCCUCUUCUUAGUCAUACGAAUGCACUAAGAUGUCCUUAGAGGAUCAAUUGUGAUAUUGUUUCAUAAUCACUAAGAUAAUCAUAAAACACGGUACUAAAGUACUCUCCCAUCUUUUCAGAUUGGAGAAACGUUUAUCUUUCUGCCUAAUUUGAUUCUUCUCAUUCGUCCCGCCCUACAUUGAAACUUUUCCAAUGUUUCAGAAUUAUACUUAAACUUGUAAGCACAACCAUAUUUACUAAAGUUUAGUAAAUCAUGAUGAAUAGCCUUAUGGUUCUUUGUGGUGGACCUAAUCAGCGCACAACCAAGUGUAUUCGAUCCCCUAGUCCUUCACUUGACUCACAUAUACAUGUGAACAAGGAAUCAGUCUUAAUUUCCUAAUGAUGAAAAUUCUCAUUCAUCACACAAGUUGCAUGAUUCCAAGUUUCUAUUCAACUGAAAUUUGGGUGAUGAGAAUCUUUCCUUAUCUGGUAGAUUAUGACACUACCACAAACAAAAGAAUCAAAUCCAUUUUUCCAAUGUUGAUAUCAAUGGAAUCAUUUAAACAACAAUUUUUCACAAAUGCCAUUGUAAGGAAAUUUAAAAUAAAUAAAAUCAAUAGUUUUUCUUUUAUUUAAAACUUGCAGAAAAAGCUUAUCCUUACAAUGAAAAUGCAUAUGAAAAACAUAUUGUUAUCUAUUCCUAAGCAAUCUAUCAUAACUCUCAACAGUAGCUCAAAAUUCUGAUCUUCACGAUCAGAAUCAGCUUACUCUUCUUUUAAGCUUCCUUUGAUUCUCCAAAACAUCAAAAUAUAAUUACAUUACAUCAUGUAUUAAGAAUCUCCAAAAGGAAUUUAAUUGAGCUAGAUAGUGGACUUUGCCUAAAGUAGAGUCAAACAUUUUGACUUUACCAUCCUUAUGAUCUCUCAGGUAAAUAGGGCAGCUUCGCAACUAAUGCCCCUUCUCUUGGAAAAAGAAACAUAUGGACUCUUUCGGAAUGGUACACGAGACUAUAUCAGACUUAGCCUUUCUCUUUACCAUUGGGUCAAAUGACUUGACCAUGGAUGAUCCUUUUCCAUUGGGAAGAGACAGCUUUUCUGGACUUCUAAUGUUUCCAUUAUCAAUGUGCAUGAAAGUUUGGGAAGUAGAUCUUCCAAUCAAAUUUGCUUUACCAGUACCCUAAAUCAUUGUUGAUUCAGCAGCAACAAGCAAAUAGGUAAGAUCAAUAGGGGUCAUGUCGUGAUCUGUCGUCAAGGAGUGAUUGAAGAACCAAGUCAACAACCAGCUACCUCGAGACUUUAUCACCCAACUAACCCAGCCUAUCAAUAUGUAACUUCAUCUCCAAGAUGUAAGCACAUAUAGAUUUUGCUUGCCAUUAGGGAUUGAGUGACCUUGAACUUUUCAAGAACUUAUGGGUUAGGGAGAAUAAUUGGAGGAGGUGGAGGAAGAGAAGUAUGAUUUUCGUGAUCCAACCACAAGACAUCAUCUUCAUUAGGAAAGCUUGUUUCAAGGGAUUUGGGAAGACCAUAGUUGUCUGAACCAGACAUCUACAAUGGGAGAAAUUCAAGUUAGUUGAUUCAAGUCCUUAAUAUAACACCUAAUAUGAAAUAUUAAGGCUAGGACCCAACACAAUAUUUUAUAACUUGGAAGAGAGAUUCCGUAAUCCAAGAUAUAAAAUAUUUGAAGGCAGGUAAAUGACGAUUUACCAAUUUCCACCAUGAAAAACGAAAAAAGAAUUUUAGGUCUUAAGUGAAUUGAAACUCCUAGAUCCUUUGAGAUUCAUUGAACUUUUCAAUGGCAUGUUUAAAUCUCAAUUGUGCCCUCUUAAGUUUGUGACUGGGAUGCCGAGGAUCACAAACAAGGUGUGAAUAACCAUGCAAAUUGACUUGGUACCCUUAAUUUUGAUCACCUAAUCGAUGUGUCGGUUAACCAUAAGUGCUCCACCGAUCUAUAAUAAACAUUGAUUCACCCUUUGCCACUCUUACUAGUCCAUGUUAGUGCGUCGGUUAACCACACAUGCUCCACCAAUGACUUGGUAUGGUAUAAAGUGUAAUUUCAUGGGUUAGUACCAAAUUCACAUUUUCCAAAGGUAACUAAGAUUGGGAAUUUGAUAAAGUUUAGGUACUUUAUAUUUAUCAUUAUACUUUUAAUGAAGGGAGAAUUAGAGUCAAAUCCUACCCGUUGGCUAACGACCCUCUACUAGUCAAGGAAGCCGUGGGUGAGAGUGGACACCCAUUAAACUGCCAUUUUAUAGGCAGUAACCUUAUACCCCCUUAUAGACCGGCUUCGUGAAUGAGGCCUACUAACGGUAAUACCGAUAAUUAAUUACCACUUUCAAAAAGCAAUCAAAAUCCUCCUGAGAUUAUACUUUCUAUUGUUCAUCAUCUCCUUCCUCGAGCUUCAAUGGCAGCUUCUUCAGAGACCCCUUCAGUUGCAGAACAGAUGGCCCAAUCCUCAAUCAUCAACCUCAAGGCCAAUCAAAACUUGAUUCUCGAUCUUGACCCAGCAAAAUACAACGGAUUUCUUCAACCAGUCGUCAAAUGCUUGAGGUAUUCUCCACUAGUUAUUGCUCUUACCAAGUCAGAGAUUAUUCCCUUGGUGAAUCUGUCAAAACCCUAUUCAACCGCUAGCUACUAAAAGGGAAAAGAGCUCAUCACGUUCGAAAUCUUCAACCAGAAAACCCAAAUCACCAAAUCGAGGUUUUGUAACCUCCUAGGGCUUCCUUAGGUUCAUGACCUGGUUGACCCUGAGAGCAUCUCUAACUCUGCCAUCCUAGAGAUGCUCUACUAGAUGGGAUACAAGGAAGUGUUGACUGCAGUUUCCAAGUUCAAGAAUCCCAAUUUGCCGUCGAUGUGGAAUGACAUGUUCACACUUCAAUUCAAAAGUUUCACAGAGAGAGUUAUAGGCUCCAACUGUGCGAGCAAGUUCUUCAUGACAAUGAUGUACGGUAUCUACUCUGACAUCAAUCUGGAUUAUGGUUCGGUACUCUAGGCUAAAUUGGUCCAAAUCACUCUCUCCACAACACGGCAUAGUGAAAUCUCCUAUGCUCGCUUCUGGACCGUCGUUGUUUAACGGGCGAUCAGCAAGCUCAACAUCCCCGUCCUUGAAGAUUUGUGUAUGGCUUCAAUCCAGAUCUUCCACACCACCAACAUUAUUCUUGCUGAUAAUCAAAGUUCAGCUUUAUCGGCUCAAUUCCUGAAGUUAUGCUUCAAGAUGUUCUAGCUGCGAGUGACUUACUGUGAACCUAUCGCAGUCUGCCAGUCUUAGGAUUUUUCCCAAUGAUGAGUUUCAAUAGAUCCUUGAUGAGGCGGACAAAACCAAGAAAGGAGGAAAGAAAAGGAGUGCAAAAGCCGGCCCAUCUGAACCUCCUCAAGCUUCUAAAAGGAAGAGGGUCAAGAAAGUGGCUUGUAGACCACGAUCUCCAACUCUGAGUGACCACAAGAACUCGUAGUCACACAUAGUUUUGGAGGUUCCUAUUCAUAAAGAGGAUCACAACGAAGACGAUGCUACAUCUCAACCAAAGGUUUAGAGCCUGCAACUACGAAUCUUGAGGUAACUUUUGAGAUUCCUACCUUCAUUCCAAUCAAUGAUGAAUUUUUCCAAGACUUUUCUAUUCCUUCACCCACCUAUACUAUCUCUAUCCCUGUCACCAUUUCUCCUUGCCCUCCAGUAUCUCUGGGUGUUUUGCAAACCCAAACCCUACUCUUCACAGAUUCCACUGCCACCACAACUACUUCCACUGUUGAACCUCCAAUCACUGUUAACAUAUUUGAUGCGGGGGCAGGUGCUUCAGGUUUUACAGUUGGUCGUUCUACUCGAACCAUCUCACCUUUAUGCCAAGAUGAUCCAGGCGCUGUCUAUGGUGGUGAUGACGAAGACUUUGGAGGAUUUACCUAUAACGCCCGCAGAUCCGGGCUAGUCAAUUUAGAGGCAAUAGGGGUCGAAAACGACUUUUAGACAAAAUACUACUUAGAAUAAAUAAUAUUAACCAAUUUUUAGAAUAUGUCACAAGGUUUCCGUACAUAUAAAGAACGCCGAAAUCCGAGUUAUAACGAAGAAGUUAUGGCCCGUUAAAGUUUUCGCGACGGAACCGGCACGGCACCAGGAAACGUAAAUAGUGAAUUCACGAUGGAGGACUUUUUAGCCUUAGUGAUCUAAAAGAAAGUCGUAGAAUAUGUUAAACCAAGAAAAAUCCAUAAAAAGAACGCCCAAAUCUGACUUCGUAUAAAGAAGUUAUGAUUUUUCUAAGAUUCGGCUUAGCAGUACACAGCCCGAAACUCGAAUUUUAUUUCGAGCGGUUUUUGGCUUACGUGACCUAAAUGAGAGUUGAAUAUCUCAUUAAUAGGAACUCAACGGUAAAAAGAUAGACGAAAACGGAGUCCGUAUGAAGGAGUUAUGAAUUCUUCGCUGUAAUUUAACAGUCUAAACGCCUCAUACUGUUAAAUUUGAGAUCGGUCGAGAAUUAGCCGACGGAGUCUAAAGGAAAGUUGUAGAUAUAGAUUUUACCUACGCGUGGAUAUAAAGAACGUCGAAAACGGAGCUCGUAUGCGAUCGUUAUGAUUUUUCUAAGUUUGAAGGCUGAUACGCGAUAGGGGGUGACGUGGCACCACCAGAAUUGGACACCUGGCACCACCAGAAGGUUGCCACAUGCACCAACUCGGCGAGUAGGUC